rnacentral:rRNA from 1 species
UAAUGAUGGAGAGUUUGAUCCUGGCUCAGGACGAACGCUGGCGGCGUGGAUUAGGCAUGCAAGUCGAACGGUAUAAACCUUUCGGGGUUUAGAGAGUGGCGAACGGGUGAGUAACACGUAGGUAAUCUACCCUCAAAACGGGGACAACCCAGGGAAACUUGGGCUAAUACCGGAUGCGUGCAAGCAAUGUUUUGGCUGUUAAUGCUAUUCACGGAAGUGAGUAGUGUUAAUGGUUGAGAGCAUUAUUUGCAUAAAAGGUGGCAUUUGCUGCCGUUUGAGGAUGAGCCUGCGUCCUAUUAGUUAGUUGGUGAGGUAAUGGCUUACCAAGGCGAUGAUAGGUAGGCGGCCUUAACGGGUGGUCGCCCACACUGGGAUUGAGAGACGGCCCAGACUCCUACGGGAGGCAGCAGUCGAGAAUAGUCUACAAUGGACGGAAGUCUGAUAGUGCGACGCCGCGUGAACGAAGAAUCCCUUCGGGGUGUAAAGUUCUUUUAUAUGUGAGCAGUGCCCUUUAUAUUAAUAGUAUAGAGGGAGGGAUUUAAGCGUAUGAAUAAGCAACGGCUAACUCCGUGCCAGCAGCCGCGGUAACACGGGGGUUGCAAGCGUUGUCCGGAAUUACUAGGCGUAAAGUGCAGGUAGGCGGAUAGAUAAGUUUAAGGUUAAAGGCUACGGCUUACCCGUAGUAAGGCGUUAGAUACUGUUUAUCUGGAAUGCGGUUGAGGGAGACAGAAUUCCUGGUGUAGCGGUGGAAUGCGCAGAGAUCAGGAGGAAUACCGAAGGCGAAGGCAGUCUUCUAAGCCGAUAUUGACGCUAAACUGCGAAGGUGUGGGGAUCAAACAGGAUUAGAUACCCUGGUAGUCCACACAGUAAACGAUAAUCACUAGGUGUUGGGUUCGUAUAGGACUCGGUGCCGGAGCUAACGCGAUAAGUGAUUCGCCUGGGGAGUACGAUCGCAAGGUUGAAACUCAAAGGAAUUGACGGGGGCCCGCACAAGCGGUGGAGCAUGUGGUUUAAUUCGACGCAACGCGAAGAACCUUACCCGGUCUUGACAUCUGCAGAAUUCUUCAGAGAUGGAGGAGUGCCGGUUUGCCGGAGCUGCAAGACAGGUGCUGCAUGGCUGUCGUCAGCUCGUGUCGUGAGAUGUUGGGUUAAGUCCCGCAACGAGCGCAACCCCUGCUUUCAGUUGCCAUCAUUAAGUUGGGGACUCUGGAAGGACCGCUGCGGUAACAACGCAGAGGAAGAUGGGGACGAGGUCAAGUCAUCAUGGUCCUUAUGACCGGGGCUACACACGUGCUACAAUGGUAGUUACAGAGGGGAGCGAAGCAGUGAUGUGGAGCGAAUCUCAGAAAAGCUACCCAAGUUCGGAUUGAGGUCUGCAACUCGACCUCAUGAAGCCGGAAUCGCUAGUAAUCGCGCAACAUCAUGGUGCGGUGAAUACGUUCCCGGGCCUUGUACACACCGCCCGUCAAGUCAGCCGAGUGGAGUGCACCCGAAGGAGGUGAGCUAACCCGUGAGGGAAGCAGCUUUCGAAGGUGUGCUUUGCGAGGAGGACUAAGUCGUAACAAGGUAGCCGUACCGGAAGGUGCGGCUGGAUCACCUCCUUUAU